CCUACGGGAGGCAGCAGUGGGGGAUAUUGCACAAUGGGGGAAACCCUGAUGCAGCGACGCCGCGUGUGGGAAGACGGUCCUCUGGAUUGUAAACCACUGUCCCCAGGGACGAAGAUGACGGUACCUGGGGAGGAAGCUCCGGCUAACUACGUGCCAGCAGCCGCGGUAAUACGUAGGGAGCGAGCGUUGUCCGGAAUUACUGGGUGAAAAGGGAGCGUAGGCGGGACUGCAAGUUGGGUGUCAAAUCUACCGGCUCAACCGGUAGCCGCACUCAAAACUGCAGUUCUUGAGUGAAGUAGAGGCAGGCGGAAUUCCUAGUGUAGCGGUGAAAUGCGUAGAUAUUAGGAGGAACACCAGUGGCGAAGGCGGCCUGCUGGGCUUUUACUGACGCUGAGGCUCGAAAGUGUGGGGAGCAAACAGGAUUAGAUACCCCAGUAGUG
rnacentral:rRNA from 1 species